rnacentral:rRNA from 1 species
AUUCCAGCUCCAAUAGCGUAUAUUAAAGUUGUUGCAGUUAAAAAGCUCGUAGUUGGAUUUCAGUCUUAGUUCGUCUGGCCCGCUCCCUUGAGGAGCCGAGUGCCGGUUGCGAGCUGGACUUCCUUCUAGCAUGGAACCUCUACCGUUAUGCGGCCGGGGGGGACAUCUGGAUCAUUUACUUUGAAGAAAUUAGAGUGUUCAAAGCAAGCUUACGCUGUGAAUAUAUUAGCAUGGAAUAAUAACAUAGGACUCGGGUUCUAUUUUGUUGGUUUCUAGGACUCAAGUAAUGAUUGAUAGGGACAGUUGGGGGUGCUGCUAUUAUAUGGCCAGAGGUGAAAUUCACGGAUUCAUAUAAGAGCAACUUAUGCGAAAGCAUUCACCAAGGAUGUCUUCAUCA